rnacentral:rRNA from 1 species
UACGAGGGGGGCGAGCGUUGUUCGGAAUUAUUGGGCGUAAAGGGUGCGUAGGCGGUUUGAUAAGUCUGAUGUGAAAUCCCUGGGCUCAACCCAGGGCCUGCAUCGGAAACUGUCGGGCUUGAGUAUGGGAGAGGUGAGUGGAAUUUCCGGUGUAGCGGUGAAAUGCGUAGAUAUCGGAAGGAACACCUGUGGCGAAAGCGGCUCACUGGACCAUUACUGACGCUGAGGCACGAAAGCUAGGGGAGCAAACAGG